UAACCUGCCCAAGAGACUGGGAUAACACCUGGAAACAGAUGCUAAUACCGGAUAACAACACUAGACGCAUGUCUAGAGUUUAAAAGAUGGUUCUGCUAUCACUCUUGGAUUGACCUGCGGUGCAUUAGCUAGUUGGUAAGGCAACGGCUUACCAAGGCAAUGAUGCAUAGCCGAGUUGAGAGACUGAUCGGCCACAUUGGGACUGAGACACGGCCCAAACUCCUACGGGAGGCAGCAGAC
rnacentral:rRNA from 1 species